GCUACUACCGAUUGAAUGGUUUAGCGAGAUGCUCGGAUCGGGCCCAGCACGUGCGAAAGCAUGUGCCGGGACUGAGAAGAAGUUCAAGCUUGAUCAUUUAGAGGAAGUAAAAGUCGUAACAAGGUUUUCGUAGGUGAACCUGCAGAAGGAUCAAGAUCGUUAGUGCGUCUUGUUGUUAACGAGUGUAGAUCUCGGUUUUCUCCGUUUCUUUAUAAUAUACACUUUUCUUUCUUCUUUUCUUCUUUCUCUUUCCCUUCCCCCUUUUUCUUCUCUCUUC
rnacentral:misc_RNA from 1 species